rnacentral:rRNA from 1 species
AUUGAACGCUGGCGGCAGGCCUAACACAUGCAAGUCGAGCGGAUGAGUGGAGCUUGCUCCAUGAUUCAGCGGCGGACGGGUGAGUAAUGCCUAGGAAUCUGCCUGGUAGUGGGGGACAACGUUUCGAAAGGAACGCUAAUACCGCAUACGUCCUACGGGAGAAAGCAGGGGACCUUCGGGCGUUGCGCUAUCCGAUGAGCCUAGGUCGGAUUAGCUAGUUGGUGAGGUAAAGGCUCACCAAGGAGACGAUCCGUAACUGGUCUGAGAGGAUGAUCAGUCACACUGGAACUGAGACACGGUCCAGACUCCUACGGGAGGCAGCAGUGGGGAAUAUUGGACAAUGGGCGAAAGCCUGAUCCAGCCAUGCCGCGUGUGUGAAGAAGGUCUUCGGAUUGUAAAGCACUUUAAGUUGGGAGGAAGGGCAGUAAGUUAAUACCUUGCUGUUUUGACGUUACCGACAGAAUAAGCACCGGCUAACUUCGUGCCAGCAGCCGCCGUAACAC